rnacentral:rRNA from 1 species
CUACGGGUCGCUGCAGUGGGGAAUAUUGCACAGUGGGGGGAACCCUGAUGCAGCAACGCCGCGUGGAGGAUGACGCAUUUCGGUGUGUAAACUCCUUUUAUAUGUCAAGAAAAUGACGGUAGCAUAUGAAUAAGCACCGGCUAACUCCGUGCCAGCAGCCGCGGUAAUACGGAGGGUGCAAGCGUUACUCGGAAUCACUGGGCGUAAAGGACGCGUAGGCGGGUUGGAAAGUCAGGUGUGAAAUCCUACAGCUUAACUGUAGAACUGCACUUGAAACUUCUAAUCUAGAGUAUGGGAGGGGGAGAUGGAAUUAGUGGUGUAGGGGUAAUAUCCGUAGAUAUCACUAGGAAUACCUAAAGCGAAGGCGAUCUCCUGGAACAUUACUGACGCUAAGGCGUGAAAGCGUGGGGAGCAAACAGGAUUAGAUACCCGCGUAGUC